UCGGUGGAAACACUCCUCACUGUCGCAUGUCGUCUUCACCGUCUCGGACUGCAGAAGUACCGGUCUUCACCGUCACCAGCAUCGGCACUCGAAUGGCCGCCUCUGUCGCUCCGACCGUCACGGCUCUGGACUUAAAGAGGGUCCUUGAGAGAGCUCACUUCAAUUGCUUUCCGGAAAUAGGAGAGAUAAGGGUUGAUGGAGUGAUGGUGGAGCGUAGGUCAUGCCUUUAUUAUUUACCCAGGUCAAUGCCAAUAAAAUAUGCUUUCCAGGGAAUUGAAGGGCCCUGGUUUGUUCACUUGGAUAUAACAUGUUUAGGAAGUUCAAGUCAGCCAUGCUUACAUCACUGCAUAGCUAGAGGUGAUCAUUUCUCAGAUGUUUGUGACACAGACCGUUCGACAUCUCAAUACCUUCUCUUGUCAGAUAACAUUCAGAGAGUGGACAAAUAUGGAGAAAAGGAAUCUCACCACUGUAAACCUCUAUCACCACAGCUUCAAAGGGAUACUCAUGGGCCAAACAAAAAGAAGACAAACAACCAUAGAUUGGAAGGUUGCUCCAAAGGAAACAGAACUAAUGUAUUCGACAAGAACUGGCAUUCUAGAACUGAAGAAAAUCCAUUUACUGGUGUUUGGAGUACUCCAAAAGGCACAAGUGAGGUUUUGCAACGGACCGAAAGGAAAUCCAGUCCACUUAAUGAGCACUCUAACACAACAUCAUCAGAAGUUAUAUCAGUUGGUGGUAUCAUUAAUAGAUACUUCACAAAUUUCAGUGAGGUGAACAGUUUUGGUAGCCCCUGUAGCCCUGAUUUUCGGUCUAGACCAUCAAAACUACCACUGAAGGGUAAACUUAACUGUAACUGCCCAAGCAUUCAAGUGGAUGCCUCAGCAGAGUUUGCAGUUGAAACACCACCAAGACUGUUGACUACCUUGUCUUCAACUGAACCAAGCCCCGGAAGUUUAAGCAAUGCCGUUAUAAGAAGCAGAGUUGGGAAAUCCUUAAUUAUGGCCUGCCAUAAUCUUGGUAAUUCAGCAACUCCACGAGGAUCAGCGGCCUCUCUGUGCAGAUCCAGAAACAGAAAGCACAUGAGUCGAAAUACUUUGCCCAUAAAGCUUUCAGUCUUCGAAAUUAGUGAAGAUGAUGAGUAAGGGAACUGAAGCCAUCCACUUGUACUGGCUUCGGUUGUUGGAAAUGUAGUCCACCAACAUCUUAAGCAAAGAAAUUGCUCCGGUGAUAGAGCUAGUGCUUGCGGAGAAUUGAGACCAGACAUUUGGAAAGAAGAAGAAGGACUUCCGUUGUCCCGUUGGCUUUUGCUGAUUGAAUUACUAUUUCAUGUCCAGGACCUGUGAUGACAUUUUCUCAGGAAAGGAGCAAGGUUUCUCGUGAACCUUUGCAGCCCACGAGGCGGAACAUUUUUAGUGAGUGAUGAUACUUGAAUCGGCACUGAGGAAACAAAAUAAGACAUUGAGCCCUGUUUUUCCUUAGCCGGUCUCCAGCUGGUGCCCUCGAGGCACACAGCUUGAACUGUCGCUGAAACCUGUCCUUGGAGGUACACUUAAUAUAAUCUUUCUCAGACGUGGUGAAUUCUGUUGUGGGCUUGGCACACAGGACCUGCGCAUUAGACGGGAAUACGGUCAAGCUUUAGGUGGCUGUCCAAUAGUUUAUGGUCUAUACAUGGUUGUCCCGUCAGAAUCUCCCUGAAUACUCAGAACUCACAAACUUAAGAGUCAUUUCUUGAGAAAUGAGACGAUUAGUCGUCCUUCAUGGUCCUUGCAGAGACAGAGAGAGGACGACCUAGAUAUCUGAGUUGCCAAGUGUGGAAAGCAGCAACCUGACAUUGCAUAACAAUGCUUGGUUGGCUUUUACGUUUGAAUAACUUUUGGCCGUUCAAUUCAGACCGUCUGCUCUUUCUUACUUCAUAGAAAAA